rnacentral:rRNA from 1 species
GAUGAACGCUGGCGGCGUGCCUAAUACAUGCAAGUCGAGCGAACAGACGAGGAGCUUGCUCCUCUGACGUUAGCGGCGGACGGGUGAGUAACACGUGGAUAACCUACCUAUAAGACUGGGAUAACUUCGGGAAACCGGAGCUAAUACCGGAUAAUAUAUUGAACCGCAUGGUUCAAUAGUGAAAGACGGUUUUGCUGUCACUUAUAGAUGGAUCCGCGCCGCAUUAGCUAGUUGGUAAGGUAACGGCUUACCAAGGCGACCAUGCGUAGCCGACCUGAGAGGGUGAUCGGCCACACUGGAACUGAGACACGGUCCAGACUCCUACGGGAGGCAGCAGUAGGGAAUCGUCCGCAAUGGGCGAAAGCCUGACGGAGCAACGCCGCGUGAGUGAUGAAGGUCUUCGGAUCGUAAAACUCUGUUAUUAGGGAAGAACAAAUGUGUAAGUAACUAUGCACGUCUUGACGGUACCUAAUCAGAAAGCCACGGCUAACUACGUG